GACGUAGGGUCCAAGCGUUGUCCGGAUUUACUGGGCGUAAAGAGCGCGUAGGCGGUCUGUUAAGUGUAGAGUGAAAUCUCUGGGCUCACCCCAGAAACUGCUCUGCAUACUGGCAGACUUGAGGGAUGCAGAGGUUUGUGGAAUUCCUGGUGUAGCGGUGAAAUGCGCAGAUAUCAGGAGGAACACCGGUGGCGAAGGCGGGUCUCUGGGCAGUAACUGACGCUGGAGGAGCGAAAGCGUGGGGAGCGAACAGG
rnacentral:rRNA from 1 species